rnacentral:rRNA from 1 species
CCUACGGGAGGCAGCAGUGGGGAAUUUUGGACAAUGGGCGAAAGCCUGAUCCAGCAAUGCCGCGUGCAGGAAGAAGGCCUUCGGGUUGUAAACUGCUUUUGUACGGAACGAAACGGUCUGCUUUAAUACAGUGGGCUAAUGACGGUACCGUAAGAAUAAGCACCGGCUAACUACGUGCCAGCAGCCGCGGUAAUACGUAGGGUGCGAGCGUUAAUCGGAAUUACUGGGCGUAAAGCGUGCGCAGGCGGUUAUAUAAGACAGUUGUGAAAUCCCCGGGCUCAACCUGGGAAUUGCAUCUGUGACUGUAUAGCUAGAGUACGGUAGAGGGGGAUGGAAUUCCGCGUGUAGCAGUGAAAUGCGUAGAUAUGCGGAGGAACACCGAUGGCGAAGGUCAAUCCCCUGGACCUGUACUGACGCUCAUGCACGAAAGCGUGGGGAGCAAACAGGAUUAGAUACCCUGGUAGUCCACGCCCUAAACGAUGUCAACUGGUUGUUGGGUGCAUUAGUACUCAGUAACGAAGCUAACGCGUGAAGUUGACCGCCUGGGGAGUACGGCCGCAAGGUUGAAACUCAAAGAGUAGUACGCGCGAGAGAGACGACGACGACGACGAGGAGGGAGGAGG